rnacentral:rRNA from 1 species
UGGGGAAUAUUGCACAAUGGGCGAAAGCCUGAUGCAGCAACGCCGCGUGAGGGACGACGGCCUUCGGGUUGUAAACCUCUUUUAGCAAGGAAGAAGCGAAAGUGACGGUACUUGCAGAAAAAGCGCCGGCUAACUACGUGCCAGCAGCCGCGGUAAUACGUAGGGCGCAAGCGUUAUCCGGAAUUAUUGGGCGUAAAGAGCUCGUAGGCGGUUUGUCGCGUCUGCUGUGAAAACCCGAGGCUCAACCUCGGGCCUGCAGUGGGUACGGGCAGACUAGAGUGCGGUAGGGGAGAUUGGAACUCCUGGUGUAGCGGUGGAAUGCGCAGAUAUCAGGAAGAACACCGAUGGCGAAGGCAGAUCUCUGGGCCGUAACUGACGCUGAGGAGCGAAAGGGUGGGGAGCAAAACAGGCUUAGAUACCCUGGUAGUCCACCCCGUAAACGUUGGGAACUAGUUGUGGGGUCCAUUCCACGGAUUCCGUGACGCAGCUAACGCAUUAAGUUCCCCGCCUGGGGAGUACGGCCGCAAGG